GUCGCUGCCAAUUCAGCGACCGGGCGUCGCGGCCCGGCUCAAUCAAGGCGCAUAGCGCCAUCAUUUCCUUUCAGUUGGCGCUUUUUU
rnacentral:sRNA from 1 species